AUCGUUCAUCUUCCUAUCGGUCUAAACGAUACAAGUGGGAAGACGGAAGUAGGGCUUUUGCACCGAAGGAACGCACC
rnacentral:ncRNA from 2 species